rnacentral:tRNA from 1 species
UCUGUGGUGGUCCAGUGGUUAAGAUGCUGCACUUCCAAUGCAGGGGGCAUGGGUUCAAUCCCUGGUCAGACAA